rnacentral:rRNA from 1 species
UACGGGAGGCAGCAGUAGGGAAUAUUGCACAAUGGAGGAAACUCUGAUGCAGCGAUGCCGCGUGAGUGAAGAAGGCCUUUGGGUUGUAAAGCUCUUUCGUCGGGGAAGAAAAUGACUGUACCCGAAUAAGAAGGUCCGGCUAACUUCGUGCCAGCAGCCGCGGUAAUACGAAGGGACCUAGCGUAGUUCGGAAUUACUGGGCUUAAAGAGUUCGUAGGUUGUUAAAAAAGUUGGUGGUGAAAUCCCAGAGCUUAACUCUGGAACUGCCAUCAAAACUUUUUAGCUAGAGUAUGAUAGAGGAAAGCAGAAUUUCUAGUGUAGAGGUGAAAUUCGUAGAUAUUAGAAAGAAUACCAAUUGCGAAGGCAGCUUUCUGGAUCAUUACUGACACUGAGGAACGAAAGCAUGGGUAGCGAAGAGGAUUAGAUACCCUCGUAGUCCAUGCCGUAAACGAUGUGUGUUAGACGUUGGGAAUUUAUUUUCAGUGUCGCAGCGAAAGCAUUAAACACACCGCCUGGGGAGUACGACCGCAAGGUUAAAACUCAAAUGAAUUGACGGGGACCCGCACAAGUAGUGGAGCAUGUGGUUUAAUUCGAAGAUACGCGCAGAACCUUACCAACACUUGACAUGUUCGUCGCGACUUUAAGAGAUUAAAGUUUUCGGUUCGGCCGGACGAAACACAGGUGCUGCAUGGCUGUCGUCAGCUCGUGUCGUGAGAUGUUGGGUUAAGUCCCGCAACGAGCGCAACCCUCACUUUUAGUUGCCAUCAUUUAGUUGGGCACUCUGAAAGAACUGCCAGUGAUAAGCUGGAGGAAGGUGGGGAUGACGUCAAGUCCUCAUGGCCCUUACGUGUUGGGCUACACACGUGCUACAAUGGCAUUUACAAUAGGAAGCAAGAUGGCGACGUCAAGCAAAUCCUAAAAAGAUGCCUCAGUUCG